rfam:Cricetulus griseus cell line CHO-K1, whole genome shotgun sequence.
UGGAAUGUGGCUCAGCUGGUAGAGUGCUUGCCUAGCACGCACACAGCCCUGGGUUCCAUCCCCAGCACCCCAU